rnacentral:rRNA from 1 species
UACAGAGGUCCCGAGCGUUGUUCGGAUUCAUUGGGCGUAAAGGGUGCGUAGGCGGUCUGCUAAGUUUGAUGUGAAAUCCCGGGGCUCAACCCUGGAAUGGCAUUGAAUACUGGCGGACUAGAGUACCGGAGAGGAAACUGGAAUUUACGGUGUAGCAGUGAAAUGCGUAGAGAUCGUAAGGAAGACCAGUGGCGAAGGCGAGUUUCUGGACAGUAACUGACGCUGAGGCACGAAGGCCAGGGGAGCAAACGGG